UGCAAAAGGGUAUGUGAGGGAAAGCUUGGGGCUUGUGAGUUGAGGUGCAAAUGCUGGCUAAAAGUGAGAGAAUGGGUGAAAGAAUGUGAGAUAAAAGUGAGAGAACUAGAAGUGUUUAGUAUGAAAGAGAGUCUGGGUGCUAAAGACAGGAAAAAAUGAAUGUCUUUCAGGUUCUAUGUACAAAGCCCAAAACAAUUAUUAUAGAAUAAAAUGGUUCCGGGUCCUUGCAGACAGGCAGGAUGCGGAAACAGUCAGUGUCAAAUGCAGAUUUUGUUUUCCAGUGAUCCUAUUGGUGAAAAAAAAUAUGUUUUGUACAGAUAGGGAUAAUCUAGAUCAGGCUUCCCCAAACUCCGGGCCCUCC